rnacentral:snRNA from 1 species
GUGCUUGCUUCGGCAGGACAUAUACUAAAACUGGAAUGAUACAGAGAAGAUUAGCAUGGCCUCUGCGCAAGGAUGACACACAAAUUUGUGAGGUGUUCCAUUUUAAA